GAUGAACGCUGGCGGCGUGCCUAAUACAUGCAAGUCGAGCGGUAACAGGCUCUCACGAUUUACUUAACUCUUUAGCGGUUUACUGCGAAAGAAACACGUAUGCACCGAUACUAGGGGAUGGCUCCCUGAAAAUAAGUGUAUACAGUUAAGUGAGGCGUGAGAGUGCUGACGAGCGGCGGACGGCUGAGUAACGCGUAGGAACGUACCCCAAAGUGAGGGAUAAGCACCAGAAAUGGUGUCUAAUACCGCAUAUGGUCUUCGGAUUAAAGCUUCGGCGCUUUGGGAGCGGCCUGCGUAAGAUUAGCUUGUUGGUGAGGUAAUAGCUCACCAAGGCGACGAUCUUUAGCUGGUCUGAGAGGAUGAUCAGCCAGACUGGGACUGAGAACGGCCCAGACUCCUACGGGAGGCAGCAGUAGGGAAUUUUCCACAAUGGGCGAAAGCCUGAUGGAGCAACGCCGCGUGCAGGAUGAAUGCCUUCGGGUUGUAAACUGCUUUUAUAUGUGACGA
rnacentral:rRNA from 1 species